rnacentral:misc_RNA from 1 species
ACAAACUGUAAUACCAGUAUUCAUCUAAGCACCAUAAACCCACACAAAAGACCUGGAAUACAAAGAAAGGCUCCAUGACCUGCUCUUUCAUUAGUUUCUGAAAUGUUGGCUGAGGAUAUUCAAACACGUUCCUGCCCCAUUUCUCACUUGCAGCAAUAACUUUAGCUUCAGUUCCAUGGCCAGUAUUCUUAAGGUAGUAUCCAAACGUCUCUUUUGAAGGGUAAGGAAGUUUGCUGAAAGUUCCUUUCUCCUUUGAAUAGAUGUAUUGUUGCUUCCUGAACUCAAAAUAAAUCUCAUCCACACCCUCAGAAGACGAAGAACCAGCAAGCUUUCGAAAGUGAAGAGGCACAACUUCUUUACUUCCAGAGAACUUAGCUGGGGUGACUUUACAACAAUCUGCUAGAUGUAUGUCAUCCACCUUGGAAUACUGAACAAAACGCUUGAAAUCAACGGACCAAACAGUGAACAAGAAGACCAGAGAAUGAAAGGCAACGAGGGCACCAAGAACUAUCAAAGCAUCCGUAAUAUCUAAGCUAGGUACUACAGUUAGAAGCCAAACACCGUAGAGGAUAACAAAGGGCCAAACAUCCAAACGCCAUGACCAGUGUCUCUUCUUGAGUAAAUCCACACUCUCCACCACUUUCCCACCCACUUGAAACCGCGUCAUCUCUCAAUUCUCUCCAAUGCGCCGCCGCCGCCGCUGUCGCCGUCGCCGUCCCGCCGAUUGAUACAAUCUUAACGAACAGUUAAAAAUUCCGAUCUAGUUGAAUGAGAUUGGG